rnacentral:rRNA from 1 species
AAAUUGAAGAGUUUGAUCAUGGCUCAGAUUGAACGCUGGCGGCAGGCCUAACACAUGCAAGUCGAACGGUAACAGAAAACAGCUUGCUGUUUCGCUGACGAGUGGCGGACGGGUGAGUAAUGUCUGGGAAACUGCCUGAUGGAGGGGGAUAACUACUGGAAACGGUAGCUAAUACCGCAUAACGUCGCAAGACCAAAGAGGGGGACCUUCGGGCCUCUUGCCAUCGGAUGUGCCCAGAUGGGAUUAGCUUGUUGGUGGGGUAACGGCUCACCAAGGCGACGAUCCCUAGCUGGUCUGAGAGGAUGACCAGCCACACUGGAACUGAGACACGGUCCAGACUCCUACGGGAGGCAGCAGUGGGGAAUAUUGCACAAUGGGCGCAAGCCUGAUGCAGCCAUGCCGCGUGUAUGAAGAAGGCCUUCGGGUUGUAAAGUACUUUCAGCGGGGAGGAAGGGAGUAAAGUUAAUACCUUUGCUCAUUGACGUUACCCGCAGAAGAAGCACCGGCUAACUCCGUGCCAGCAGCCGCGGUAAUACGGAGGGUGCAAGCGUUAAUCGGAAUUACUGGGCGUAAAGCGCACGCAGGCGGUUUGUUAAGUCAGAUGUGAAAUCCCCGGGCUCAACCUGGGAACUGCAUCUGAUACUGGCAAGCUUGAGUCUCGUAGAGGGGGGUAGAAUUCCAGGUGUAGCGGUGAAAUGCGUAGAGAUCUGGAGGAAUACCGGUGGCGAAGGCGGCCCCCUGGACGAAGACUGACGCUCAGGUGCGAAAGCGUGGGGAGCAAACAGGAUUAGAUACCCUGGUAGUCCACGCCGUAAACGAUGUCGACUUGGAGGUUGUGCCCUUGAGGCGUGGCUUCCGGAGCUAACGCGUUAAGUCGACCGCCUGGGGAGUACGGCCGCAAGGUUAAAACUCAAAUGAAUUGACGGGGGCCCGCACAAGCGGUGGAGCAUGUGGUUUAAUUCGAUGCAACGCGAAGAACCUUACCUGGUCUUGACAUCCACAGAACUUUCCAGAGAUGGAUUGGUGCCUUCGGGAACUGUGAGACAGGUGCUGCAUGGCUGUCGUCAGCUCGUGUUGUGAAAUGUUGGGUUAAGUCCCGCAACGAGCGCAACCCUUAUCCUUUGUUGCCAGCGGUCCGGCCGGGAACUCAAAGGAGACUGCCAGUGAUAAACUGGAGGAAGGUGGGGAUGACGUCAAGUCAUCAUGGCCCUUACGACCAGGGCUACACACGUGCUACAAUGGCGCAUACAAAGAGAAGCGACCUCGCGAGAGCAAGCGGACCUCAUAAAGUGCGUCGUAGUCCGGAUUGGAGUCUGCAACUCGACUCCAUGAAGUCGGAAUCGCUAGUAAUCGUGGAUCAGAAUGCCACGGUGAAUACGUUCCCGGGCCUUGUACACACCGCCCGUCACACCAUGGGAGUGGGUUGCAAAAGAAGUAGGUAGCUUAACCUUCGGGAGGGCGCUUACCACUUUGUGAUUCAUGACUGGGGUGAAGUCGUAACAAGGUAACCGUAGGGGAACCUGCGGUUGGAUCACCUCCUUACCUUAAAGAAGC